GGGGAUGACUUGAUUCGAUAGGGAAAUAAUCCUUUGAUUUGCGAGCCGGUUUUGUAUAUGUACCGCAAAAAAUAUACAACACAAUAAGUGCAAACUUAUUUGGCAAGGUAAGAAGCUUUGCUUCGACCCCUGCAUUAGCUUACGCUUAAAUACCGUAAGCCAUCGCAAUAAGCAACUCCUGAUAGCUUAAAGCGGUGUAAAAAUUAUCAGGAUAGCCGACAGAAUUGCCCGCCCCGCCGGUAAACUUAGGGCUCGGAUACAUGGUGUUUUGGAUAUUUUUUAGCCGUUUAUCUUAAACCAAACAAAUAACCUAAGCUUGUAGAUUAACUUUUGGCAUUUCUUCUGCACGCGGGUUCAAUUCCCGCCAUCUCCACUA
rnacentral:tmRNA from 1 species